rnacentral:rRNA from 1 species
GCAUAUCAAUAAGCGGAGGAAAAGAAACUAACUAGGAUGCCUUCAGUAGCGGCGAGCGAAGCAGGCAUAGCUCAAAUUUGUAAUCUGGCUGUUUUACAGUCCGAGUUGUAACUUCUAGAGGCGAGUUCGGUGGCAGCCCUGGUUCAAGUCCGCUGGAACGCGGCGUCAUGGAGGGUGAGAAUCCCGUGAAUGAUCAGGUGUCUGUUGCUAUGUGAACCGUUUUCGAAGAGUCGAGUUGUUUGGGAAUGCAGCUCUAAAUGGGAGGUAAAUUUCUUCUAAAGCUAAAUAUUGGCCAGAGACCGAUAGCGAACAAGUAGAGUGAUCGAAAGAUGAAAAGAACUUUGAAAAGAGAGUUAAACAGUACGUGAAAUUGUUGAAAGGGAAGCGCUUGAGAUCAGACUUCCUGCGCAGACUAUCCUUGCUUCUGCUUGGGUCAAUAGUCUGUGCGUGGAGGCCAGCAUCAGUUUUGACGGUCGGAUAAAGGUUUGGGGAAGGUGGCUCACCUCGGUGAGUGUUAUAGCCCCAGAUGCAAUACGGCCAGUUGGGACUGAGGACCGCGGCUUUGCCUAGGAUGCUGGCGUAAUGGUCUUAAGCGACCCGUCUUGAAACACGGACC